CCUACGGGAGGCAGCAGUGAGGAAUAUUGGACAAUGGUCGAAAGACUGAUCCAGCCAUGCCGCGUGCAGGAUGACUGCCCUAUGGGUUGUAAACUGCUUUUAUACGGGAAGAAAAACACCUACGUGUAGGUGACUGACGGUACCGUAAGAAUAAGGACCGGCUAACUCCGUGCCAGCAGCCGCGGUAAUACGGAGGGUCCAAGCGUUAUCCGGAAUCAUUGGGUUUAAAGGGUCCGUAGGCGGGCUAUUAAGUCAGAGGUGAAAGUUUGCAGCUCAACUGUAAAAUUGCCUUUGAUACUGAUAGUCUUGAAUUGUAGUGAAGUGGUUAGAAUAUGUGGUGUAGCGGUGAAAUGCAUAGAUAUCACAUAGAAUACCGAUUGCGAAGGCAGAUCACUAAUAAUGUACUGACACUGAUGGACGAAAGCGUGGGUAGCGAACAGGAUUAGAUACCCUGGUAGUCCACGCCGUAAACGAUGGUUACUAGCUGUUUGGACUUCGGUCUGAGUGGCUAAGCGAAAGUGAUAAGUAACCCACCUGGGGAGUACGUCGGCAACGAUGAAACUCAAAGGAAUUGACGGA
rnacentral:rRNA from 1 species